rnacentral:lncRNA from 1 species
CUUCAUUACCUUGCACACAAAUAAGGGAGCCGAGAGUGAUACUUGGAAGAGAAAAACAAGUUUAUUUGCAAAUAGAAUCCCGGUCAUAAGUUUUUGUCUCCAAAUAACAGUUUGUCUUGGCACUUGGAAUUUGCUCAUCUGUGCAGAAAGCUACAACUCUACAAGAAGCCGUUGCUCAACAAGUGUCUCUCUGUCCAUCCUGCAAGUGCAAUGUUUCUGGAGCAGCACUGCCCAGGAUCUGUGUGGAAUGGCGCUUAAGCCUGGUUUCUUUCCCAUGAAACUCCUUCUUUUGCAUGUACAUCCCAGAAGAAUAUCACUGAUUUGAAGAAGGAGAAAAAUUACUGUUUGGAUAAUUGUUUCCUCAUAUCUUCAUAUACUUACUACACUGUAGCCAGAGUUAGAAUUGCCACAUGCUUGAUGGGUAGUGACAUCAGGAAUUUGAGAAGAGCAUGUGUUCUCUACUAUCUGAUAUUUCUUCUCAUUUCAUUGGCU